AUAGGAGACAAUCUAGUGACUACAAAUGAAUUCAUUAUACCUUGGCGUUUGUCUCACCCCAACAUCGUACGAAUGAUUGCUGUAGCCAGAAGUGAGACACACGUCCUCAUUGCUAAUGAGUAUAUCCAUGGUGCCAACUUGCAGGAGGUUCUUCACAAAGACACUCCUAUCAAGUUGCAGGACGAGGACAAGCUGUUUGUGGCUUUAGAUAUUGCCAUGGCUGUUGAGUACAUACAUGGAAAAACAAUCAUCCACCAAGAUCUGAAGCCAGCAAAUAUAA